rnacentral:rRNA from 1 species
CAGUAGCCGCGGUAACACCGAGGGUGCAAGCGUUAAUCGGAAUUACUGGGCGUAAAGCGCGCGUAGGUGGUUUGUUAAGUUGGAUGUGAAAUCCCCGGGCUCAACCUGGGAACUGCAUCCAAAACUGGCAGGCUAGAGUAGGGCAGAGGGUGGUGGAAUUUCCUGUGUAGCGGUGAAAUGCGUAGAUAUAGGAAGGAACACCAGUGGCGAAGGCGACCACCUGGGCUCAUACUGACACUGAGGUGCGAAAGCGUGGGGAGCAAACAGGAUUAGAUACCCCCGUAGUCCCUGUCUCUUAUAC